rnacentral:rRNA from 1 species
GUCUUUUUGAUUAUAAUUUAAAGUCUUCCCUGCUCACUGAUUUGUUAAAGAGCCGCGGUAUUUUAACCGUGCAAAGGUAGCGUAAUCAUUAGUCUCUUAAUUGGGGUCUUGUAUGAAUGGGUUGACGAGGAAUUGGCUGUCUUAGGAUGAUAUCUAUAAUUUAACUUUUAAGUCAAAAGGCUUGGAUUUUUCUUUGGGACGAUAAGACCCUAUAGAGCUUAAUAUAUUUGUUUUUUAUUGUUUUUGUUUGUUUAAGAAUUAAAUUAUGGAAUAUAUUUUGUUGGGGUGACAUAAAUAAUUGAUUAACUGUUUAUUUUUGAAUCAUGGAUUGAUGUAUUUUUGAUCCAUAAUUUGUGAUCAUAAGAUUAAGUUACCUUAGGGAUAACAGCGUAAUUAAUUUUGAGAGUUCUUAUUGACAGAUUAGAUUGCGACCUCGAUGUUGGAUUAAGGGUAAUCCUAGGUGUAGUAGCUUGGGGGUUAGUCUG